CCUACGGGUGGCAGCAGUGGGGAAUAUUGGACAAUGGGCGAAAGCCUGAUCCAGCCAUGCCGCGUGUGUGAAGAAGGCCUUCGGGUUGUAAAGCACUUUCAGUGGGGAAGAAAGCCUUGGGGCUAAUACCCUCGAGGAAGGACAUCACCCACAGAAGAAGCACCGGCUAACUCCGUGCCAGCAGCCGCGGUAAUACGGAGGGUGCGAGCGUUAAUCGGAAUUACCGGGCGUAAAGCGCGCGUAGGCGGUCUGAUAAGCCGGUUGUGAAAGCCCCGGGCUCAACCUGGGAACGGCAUCCGGAACUGUCAGGCUAGAGUGCAGGAGAGGAAGGUAGAAUUCCCGGUGUAGCGGUGAAAUGCGUAGAGAUCGGGAGGAAUACCAGUGGCGAAGGCGGCCUUCUGGACUGACACUGACGCUGAGGUGCGAAAGCGUGGGUAGCAAACAGGAUUAGAUACCCCGGUAGUC
rnacentral:rRNA from 1 species